GCACGAUUCUGCCGAUAUUUGCUGUUGGAAGUCAGCUGAUGUUUUCAAAACAUUGGGUAUUCUCAAAAACACAUGGAUAAAGCAGCCAGACAUCACCCAUGGAUUCUGCAAUUGCAAAGCACUGUCCAGAGCUUGUAGCCGGUGAGCGAAGCGGUCAAACGGCUGUAGUUGAGGGAAAUGUCCUGUACGUGUGGGGAGGGUACGUGGGAAAUGUGUCAAAUGUCUGGAGAGGUCCCACCCCCAAUGUCAGGCACCUGUGGCUGCUCUCUGAAUGGAGACAUGUACAUAUUUGGGGGAUGCAAUGACAACGGACAGACCAAUCAGCUUUACUGUGUCAACCUCCUGGAUGGGAAAUAUAGCUGGAGGAAAGUGAACCAUAAGAGUGGCUCCUCUCCCUCACCCAGAGAUAAGCUCUCUUGUUGGGUUUUCAAUGGCAGUAUUUCUGUAGGCUCAUCUACUUCGCUGGAUAUGGUCAUAAGCAACUUGAUGACAUCAGUAACAAUAGAAGCUUCCUUAUGGAUGAGGCAUCAAGGGUAGAUGACAUCUAUUGGGGAUGGAACAAUGAAGUCCAUAUGUUUGACCCAACAUCGGCCAGUUGGAGUGAACCACAUACCAGUGUAAGACGGAGGUUAAAUUGUGUUUACAUAUAUAAUAAAGCAAUUCAUUUAGUGGAUAUACAAAAACAUGGUGUUGUCAUAGCAUAUUAUUAACAGUAUAGCAUAUAAGGCAAGACACUUCAAAUAUGAUAGUUUUUUUGUGGAUAUCUAGCUACACUGUAAAUGUUGUUUUUGUCUAAAGGGUCGUGCCCCUGACCCCAGAGCUGCCCAUGCCAGUGCAACACUUGGCAACAAAGGAUACGUAUGUGGAGGCAGAAUAAGGGUGAAAAACGAUGCAUCUCAACUCCUCUCUCGUGUUUUUUCAUUGACACAGACAACCUAAAGUGUCACAACGAUUCAUGAGAUUGUGUCUUCUGCUGAACAUUAAUGAAACAUAGGACUUUUGACUCUGGUUUUUUUUUUGCGCUUGUUUGGAAUAAGCUCUUCUGUUUUUCUUUUCACUUUUAGGAAUCCAGGACAAGUGACAUUUAUUGUCUAGAUCUAGAAUCAUGGACAUGGUCCGAAAUGUACGCAUUUACACUCUUUCAAAUGCUCAGCUUAAAAUGGUUACUGUUCUGUACUAUACUGUUUUCACAUCACACUUGAUUUAAAAAAAAUCUGUUCUUUCAAAAUGGCUUUUCCAGAGUACCAGAAUCCACUGUGUCAAUGGGAAGGUCGUGGCAUACCCUAACUGCAAUAUCUGAUAGCGCUUUCUUUCUAUUUGGAGGACUGGGUAUGGACUGAACCAAUGAGUGAGUAAUUUACCCAUUCAGGUUCCCAAUCCUACCUCUGUACCUUAUGUUCCAUGGAAACAUGGCAUUAUUUGGUUUUCUAAAAAAAUUAUGCAUCUCUAGGCGAUGGCUGGGCAUUUGAUGUUGAGACAAAGAAAUGGAGGGAGCUUGAGCAUCCAUACAUGAACAAACCAAGGUAGUGUAUGUGCAAGUUGUUAGCAGAAAGUGUUUUAUUUUCCAAUCUGAGGUAUGUACCUAAAAUGUGCAAAUGGUAAAACUGUUAACACAUUGUCUGUGGGAUCUCUAUACAGUGGGGCAAAAAAGUAUUUCGUUUUUAGCCCCAAAGCAUGAUGUUUCCACCCCCAUG